rnacentral:ncRNA from 1 species
AUGGGAUCGUUGAAAAGGGAAAGUAAAAAUAGGCUAUGCUCAGACAGAGAGAAUCACCACCGGCUGAAAGUGAUUUUGAGGACCCUAUUUUGAAGUGCCCCUUGGAGUCUGUUAUGGAACAUGAUUGAUUUUAAUUAGUACAUAACAGCGGUUAAGUUCUGCCGUUAUCAGAACAAGAGUUGGAAGUCUAUUAUCAUUAUGGGCUUCAAACAGAGUGGAACCGCGCACUAGCGUCUCUGUG